AUCUACUGGGCAAAGCAAGUCACAAGGGCAGUCCAGAUUCAGGGGUGGGAAAAUAAGCUCCACCUCUUAGUGGGAGGGGCCUCAAAGAACAUGUGGACAUUUUUAACCCAACUCAAUAUGCUUAUAGCAUUAGGUGAUGCCCUCUGUUCUGCAUGUCUACAUCCUUUUUUUUUUUUUUUUUAAGAGAUAGAGCCUCACACCGUUGCCUAGUAUAGAGUGCAGUGGCACAAUCACAGCUCACCGCGUGGUGAGGGUCUGCACCAGGAGCACAGUUCUACGGGGAAGAGGAGAGUCAGGCUGAAGAGACAUUUCUGUGGAAGAAUCAUCUGAAUUUUAUAGGGAAGAAGGUGAGGGAAAUAAGAGAAAUAAAGAAGAACACUACGGUUUCCAGCUCUGAAGUGCAAGUAGACAGGAAUGCCAUUAGAUGGGGUCCGGCGUUUAGAAGAACUGACUUGGAGACAAAUGAGGAGGCAUUUCCUCUCGGACAUGUGGAGUUUGAGAUAUCAAUGAGACACCAGGGUGGAUUUGUCCACAUAAUAGUUGGAAAUGUGGAUUUGAAGCUUACGAAGUAGGUAAAGAGCCCUAAAUGUAAAGACAUCCACCAAGAGAUGGUAGCGGAAGCCAUGGCAGUAAAUGAGGUGACUGGGCAUCACGCAGAGUCCUAGUUCUCAGACUCCGAGGUGCACAAGAAUCAUCUAUGAAGGCUGCAGAAGGUGCACUCCUUGAAUCUCUCCCCAGGGAUUCUGAUCCAAGAGGACAGGGAUGUGGCAAAGUGGUGAAUAUUUGUAACCAGUAGUCUACAACCAUAUUCUUAAGAAACACAGAUGUAGACAGAACACAAGGAAUUAUCUGAGAUAAUUGCAGAGAG
rnacentral:lncRNA from 1 species